ACUCCUUAAAGGGAAAGGACCCUUCCACCCAGUGUGCUUUGCUUAUUAUUAUGAUUGUUAUUAUUUAUAUCUGCCGACUUUAAGAGCGUGCCAGACGCGAAAAGAAUUUUUCCGGUUGUCUUUUCUGCGUCAACAAUCUGAACGGGAGGGGAGAAAGGCAGAGGGCAUUUGGUGUUCAUGUUCCUACUUUGUUUGAAGACUGACUAAAAAGAGCUCAGGCUCCGAGCGGUAGUUGAGACGUACUGAAGAGAUUGCAAUUUGCGUGUCUUAUGUGUGUAGUUCUGAUGAGUAGAUAUUAUUCACAACGCAGAGACUAAACUUCAUUGCGGGACUUUUUGAGACAUCUGAAAACAAUAAUAAUUUCCUUUCUUAAUGCGCAUUCUGACUUCAACAGAUAAAGUCGCCGUAGAACAAUAGACUGCUGUCUCAGAAAAAGAAGCGACUGGUGAUGGUUUAACCGAAGGUCAUCAGAAGGCUCAAUGAACCCCAGGCCAAUCAGGCACCAGUGAAGCCAGCAGCUGACCUUCCUGGAAUUCGGUCCUGGAAAUUAAAGUUCCACUAAUUGAGAGAUACUGGUGAAUUAGUUCUUUCACUUAUCAGUGCCUUGGAGAAGGCUGUGAAUUCUGCUGAAGGAGCACUGCCAAAGUGUCAGUAUUGUCAAGUACUCACGUCAAAGUGUGUCCAAACCCUCAUGAUAUUGAACAGCUGUAUCAAAUCACCUUUCAAUCUUCUCUGAGGAGAACAGCACAAGAUUCUUUAAUUAACUCAUGUUAUGGAAGUUUCUCAUCUGUGGAGGCUCAUGUCGGGAGUGUGAUAGAAUACUCCGAACUUGCCAGGAUGAUUGCAGCUCCAAUAACAUUCAAGGAGCUGGACAAAGCAAACUAAUUGAUUCGUAUCCCCAUCAAGCAUCUUCAACAUUACCAACACCCAAUAGCAGCAGCGUGUAUCAUUCUCAAGAUGUACACCAUCAACUCAAAAGACUCCUUCAACAGCAUCUUCCAAACCCACAACAUCUACCACUGAGAAGGACAAACAUAGGAACACCACCACCGGCAAGUUUCCCUUGAAGUCAUUCAUUAUUUCGACGUACAACCUUAUCACCAUUCCUUCACUGUUGCUGGAUCAAAUUGAACCCCUUUCCUAACAGCAUGAUGGGUUUUGACUAUUCCUCCUAGAAUGCAACAGUUCAAAAUUGUGCAGCAAU